rnacentral:rRNA from 1 species
AGAGUUUGAUCCUGGCUCAGGAUGAACGCUGGCGGCGUGCUUAACACAUGCAAGUCGAACGAAGCACUUUAGAUGAUCCCUUCGGGGUGAAUGUAUUGUGACUGAGUGGCGGACGGGUGAGUAACGCGUGGGUAACCUGCCUCAUACAGGGGGAUAACAGUUGGAAACGGCUGCUAAUACCGCAUAAGCGCACAGGACCGCAUGGUCCGGUGUGAAAAACUCCGGUGGUAUGAGAUGGACCCGCGUCUGAUUAGCUAGUUGGCGGAGUAACGGCCCACCAAGGCGACGAUCAGUAGCCGACCUGAGAGGGUGACCGGCCACAUUGGGACUGAGACACGGCCCAAACUCCUACGGGAGGCAGCAGUGGGGAAUAUUGCACAAUGGGCGAAAGCCUGAUGCAGCGACGCCGCGUGAACGAAGAAGUAUUUCGGUAUGUAAAGUUCUAUCAGCAGGGAAGAAGAAUGACGGUACCUGACUAAGAAGCACCGGCUAAAUACGUGCCAGCAGCCGCGGUAAUACGUAUGGUGCAAGCGUUAUCCGGAUUUACUGGGUGUAAAGGGAGCGCAGGCGGUACGGCAAGUCUGAUGUGAAAGCCCGGGGCUCAACCCCGGUACUGCAUGGGAAACUGUCGAACUAGAGUGUCGGAGGGGUAAGUGGAAUUCCUAGUGUAGCGGUGAAAUGCGUAGAUAUAGGGAGGAAACACCAGUGGCGAAGGCGGCUACUGGGACGAUAACUGACGCUGAGGCUCGAAAGCGUGGGGAGCAACAGGAUUAGAUACCCUGGUAGUCCACGCUGUAAACGAUGAAUACUAGGUGUUGGGGAGCAUUGCUCUUCGGUGCCGUCGCAAACGCAGUAAGUAUUCCACCUGGGGAGUACGUUCGCAAGAAUGAAACUCAAAGGAAUUGACGGGGACCCGCACAAGCGGUGGAGCAUGUGGUUUAAUUCGAAGUAACGCGAAGAACCUUACCAAGUCUUGACAUCCUUCUGACCGGCACGUAACGGUGCCUUCUCUUCGGAGCAGGAGUGACAGGUGGUGCGUGGUUGUCGUCAGCUCGUGUCGUGAGAUGUUGGGUUAAGUCCCGCAACGAGCGCGACCCUUAUCUUUAGUAGCCAGCGGAGAAGCCGGGCACUCUAGAGAGACUGCCAGGGAUAACCUGGAGGAAGGCGGGGAUGACGUCAAAUCAUCAUGCCCCUUAUGACUUGGGCUACACACGUGCUACAAUGGCGUAAACAAAGGGAAGCAGAGCCGUGAGGCCGAGCAAAUCUCAAAAAUAACGUCUCAGUUCGGACUGUAGUCUGCAACCCGACUACACGAAGCUGGAAUCGCUAGUAAUCGCAGAUCAGAAUGCUGCGGUGAAUACGUUCCCGNGGUCUUGUACACACCGCCCGUC